GGGUUGUUAGCUCAGUUGGUAGAGCAGUUGACUUUUAAUCAAUUGGUCGCAGGUUUGAAUCCUGCACAACCCUCCA
rnacentral:tRNA from 1 species